rnacentral:rRNA from 1 species
CAGUAGCCGCGGGAAUACGAGGGGGGCAAGCGUUGUUCGGAAUUAUUGGGCGUAAAGGGCGCGUAGGCGGUUUGGCAAGUUUGGUGUGAAAUCUUCGGGCUCAACUCGAAGUCUGCAUCGAAAACUGCCGGGCUUGAGUAUGGGAGAGGUGAGUGGAAUUUCCGGUGUAGCGGUGAAAUGCGUAGAUAUCGGAAGGAACACCUGUGGCGAAAGCGGCUCACUGGACCAUUGCUGACGCUGAGGCGCGAAAGCUAGGGGAGCAAACAGGAUUAGAGACCCCCGUAGUCCCUGUCUCUUAUAC